GACGUAGGGCGCGAGCGUUGUCCGGAUUUAUUGGGCGUAAAGAGCGUGUAGGCGGCCAUACAGGUCAGCUGUGAAAACUCGAGGCUCAACCUCGAGACGUCGGUUGAAACCGUAUGGCUAGAGUCCGGAAGAGGAGAGUGGAAUUCCCGGUGUAGCGGUGAAAUGCGCAGAUAUCGGGAAGAACACCCGUGGCGAAGGCGGCUCUCUGGGACGGUACUGACGCUGAGACGCGAAAGCGUGGGGAGCGAACAGG
rnacentral:rRNA from 1 species